AUAUGGCUACUGUUAUACCUCACAUGCCAGACAGACAAGCGACUGUACAGUUUGUUAUUGAGACGAUAGCCCUGAGGAUAGGAGAGAGAAUCAUGAGUCACCUUCCAAACAGGUUUGAACUGGUGUGAGAUAAUGGUACAAACAUAUUUUAGAAACUGGUCUAAACUAGCCCGUAAGAAAGAGUGGUAGGUGUGGAUUCAAAAAAAGACCGUCACAUGCUAAGGAGAAAGGGAACUGGACUAACAAGAAACUGUGGCUGCAACUGCUUGCGAAACAAAUACCAUGAGGAUUCACUAUGGAGGCAGCUUUGCCCAAAGAAGAAGGUCAGAGACAGAACUUUGCAGCCAUGCUGCAAACUGACUUUGCAAUGAGUGACAAGUAUGGUGCAGUAAAUCGUUGGUGGAAUAUUUAUGAGAAGGAAAACUGACUUCUGACCAUAAGGAUGGCAGAAGCAGCGCAGAAGGAAUAACCUAGACCCUGGCUGAAAGGCAGAGAGAAAGCCUGAAGAUGAGGCAAAAGACUAGAUUUGGUGACAAAAACAACUUUGAAUUUCUCUUCCCUUUCAAUAACUUGCAGUUCAUACAGUCAAUGAUGACUGCUGUAUUUGAGAGAGUUCAUUUCCUGUAUUGAUGGCCAAAGGAUUUAACUGAGUCUACAAGACCAAGAAAUUAUGCUAAGUAAAAAUGCAUUAGCAACUCUUGUGUACAGCAAAGGUUCUGGAAGCAACACAUUUUUCAGGGUGAGGGAAUAAUUCAAGUCACUCAUAGAAACUGACUGCAGGACUCUGAGUUGCCUAAAAGAUGAGGGAGUGGAUUUAUGUUUGUCUAGGUAUAGCUGAAUCACUUGAAUCCCACUCAUUGCCUCAAGGAAGAAAGGUUAUUCUGCAGAAUGGCUCAUCCCGGUAGGUGGGAUAGAACCAAUAAUUUUAUUUGUUCUGAGUCUAUAGUGCACUUCAUCCCAAAGAAUUCCAGAGCCUUCAGAUAAACUCUACAAAGGAAUCCCAGCCUCUGUAAAAGUGCUGUGGCAUGAGUCCAAAGCACUGCCUUUUACAGUAGUGUUAUUGCAGUGGGGGGAGGGAUAGCUCAGUGGUUUGAGGAUUGGCCUGCUAAACCCAUCGUUGUGAGUUCACAUUUAGGGAUCUGGAGCAAAAAUCUAUCUGGGGAUUGGUCCUGCUUUGAGACUAGAUGACCUCCUGAGGUCCCUUCCAAUCCUGAUAUUCUAUGAAGGAGGAAUUUUAGGCCAGGACUAACCCAUCAGAGGCACAGUAAUUUCUAAUAUUACACAGAAAGUGUCUAGAGAGCUCUGCUGUCCCUGUGAGAUGCCUGGUUUGGAGGUUUCCUCUUCAAACCAUUAUCAAGAAAACAGCAUGAAACUCAUCUGCUUUGAAAAAACAAAGGUCUGAGCUGACCCCAUGGAGAUUUGAACUCAUGAUUUAAGGGAAUCUAUUAUUCAGUAAUGAAGAUGCAAAUUGUUGUUUAAUAUUCAACUGCUGCUUCCUGUGAAGGUCUGAACAAGUGACAGUGGCAAUGGUAGGAUUUCCUCAGAGAUCUUUUCCACUCGGCUUAGCCAGAACACCUCUCCAGUUCUGGGGAUAACACUUUAUCCAGCUCUCUUGAAUCCAAGAAAUCAGCUCAACUCUGGACUCAUCACUGAGGUUUCAUUAUUGGCAUACAAUCAAACUACACUUGAGUUGAUCAGGCUCAAGUGUAGCAGGUGGGUACAGGGUAUACCACACUUUCAAUGUACAUAAUCAUGAGUUUACUUAUAUACACUCUUUUACUUAAUACUAUUGGCUAAUGUCACUUUAUGAUUGGUCUACUAAUUUUUGUACCAAUCUCUGUACAGAUCAUGAACUGUCCACAAGCUACAAAGUAUGCUAGUAAGCAAAGCUGCAGCUGCAAGUUUAUCACACAUUAACUCUUCUUACUAUUUCUUUAUCUACUAAGUACAUGUUAUUUACAGGGCCACUUGUGAGUUUAUGCUUUGUCCAGUGUUAACCUCUAUUUUCUUACUUCUGUUUGAUUGUUCAUGCAACAAGCAGGAGAUUAGAUGGGGAGAUAGAUGCACCAGAUAGCUUUCAGCUGGAUGGCAUCUGCAUGCAGGGGUAGCCUUUGCAUUCCUAAAGCAAAUAGUACUCUGGGAUUUAAAUAGUGGCUAGACAUAUGUAUAUAUCAGUAAGUCUAGCCUAGACAGCGUCUAAAUUAAGAGGUUAACUAAAAAAAAAUGAAGGAAGGAAAGGACCUCAUGCUUUAGGGUAAAAGCUAAUUUACUGUGGGAGUUGGGAAGGAAUUUUCUUUCCUUUAAAAUAAGUUUAAAUAUAAUAAUAAAGGUUUUUAUACUGUCCAUUCAUGCAUCAGGUGUCAGGCCACUGCUGGAGAAAGGAUGCUAAACUAGAUUGAUACCGGUCUGUUUUAACAUGGCAGUAUCUGAAGUAUAGGGUAAUAUUAUAGCCACAUGUAAUGUACUAUGGUUCCAUAACAAUAUAUAACACACUUUAGAAACAAUAGCUGCAUUCUUGCAAAAUAGUUUCCCCUCACUUCCCCUGCCUCCAUUCUAUUCAGAUGGAGUAGGCGGACACAUAGAGCGAUUACUUUCAAUUCUGUUUGUUAGGUUUAAAGAAUAAAACACUAGUAUGACUGAAGCUCAUAAUGUGCCAGAGAGGCUAUACGAGACUUGAAUACUCAUGACCUACAGGGAAAGCAGAGAUUCUCAGAAAGCAAAUUGCCACAGUAAAAAGUGAAACACUGAAUACUAAUAAACCUUGCUAAUUAACAAGUCUUGUCAACUUCCUUCAAGUUAGUUGUUCUCACCCUCAAGAUAACACUUCACCAAGAUUUAUUAGCAGUGUUCCUUUAAAACCAUUGGAGGGCAGGCUUGAACUGGAAGCUAUUUUUAUUUUUUCAGUUACAGUAACUUAAAAUACCAGUUAGUCCCUUGUAUUCAUAGCUGACAGUACUCUCACCAGUUCUCCACUACUCUAAUUACUCUGGUGCUCGAUAAACCCCACUUUACAACUGCUGCUUUGACAAAGGAGAAGUGUUGUGCUGCGUGUGUUUAAAUAAAAAUGUUAACGGGGGAGUGGGUGACUCACUGUAUUAGCAGCCACAUAUUAUUCACAAAAGAGAAUCUACAUGGUUUACUUAAUUAUAUAUCUCAAAGCAUUUUACAAAGCAGGUCUAUAUCAUUAUCCCCAUUUUACAGCUAGGGAAAUGGGCACAGAGUGGUGAUGUGACUUGCCGUUACCCAGAACGCAACUGGCAGAGCCAGGAGUACAGCCGAGAUCAUCCAAUUCCCAUAUGCUCUAUCCACUAAGAUGCUCUGCGCUUCUUUCUCAAGUAAUGAAAACUCCAUGUCAUGAACAAGUCUUUAUAGGAAACCAUACUUAUAGCCUCUAUUUUAUGCUCACAUUACCCAAUAGUAAUUUGACCAACAUACACAGCCACAUAUUUAAACUUUGAAAACAUCAUUUUAUUUUAAAAAAAGAGAAACUGCAUUCAAGAAAGCUUUAGUGAAGAAAUGAUUGCCCAUGCUGUCACUAACUUGUUUGAACAAUUGGAUGCUGAGCUAAUUUUUUUGCAUUAAAAAAUAAAAUCAAAGUAGGAAAGAAAGAAGUGCUGCAAAAAACCCUAAACCACCUAGUAUAAUAACUUCAAUGAACCUUUCAAAUAAGGGGGAAAUAUUUAUAUUGAAUACAGGGGUCAGUAUUCGGCCAGUCCAAAAUAAAAAAAUGCAGAAUUUCUUAGUGAUAAGUUGAACACAAUGUGCUGGCUGUAAGUAAGUUAUUGGUUUCUACAAACUAGCUAAGAAGACACAUUCCUGUUGCUCCAUCUUGUGUGAUGGAAAAGAUGUUUAAAAAAAUAACUACAGUAUCAUUUGCUUAGGAAGGGCGGAUUGUGAUGUGCAAAUUGUGAAUUCUAUUUUAAUAUUCUCUACAUAUGGAUAACAAAGGGAAAAAUAGUUGCCCUGUCAUUUUCAUCUGGAACCCUGAGAAUAAGUUUUGUGUGUCCUUGCAAAGAGUUGAUUGUAAAAACUAAGCAGAUACAGAAAUGAGACUGUCCAUUAAAAAACACAAUCUUUAAGUGUUUUGAAAUAAGUCUUCCAGUUAGUAUUUUGUUCUUUAUUUCUCAUGCUAUAGCAGUGUGUUUGGGGUAAGAAUAGAAACAGAGGAACAUUUUGGCUAGUGUGUUGAGUUUAGUCAACAUUUUUAUGCAAGUAACCUAUACUCCAUGAAUGAUAGGAUAAUUUUAAAAUAAAGGAUUAUGAGACUUUCAGAUAGAGGGAUUCUGUGGCUUCCUCUCUGAGUUUGUUUGUAUCACAGUUUCUUUAAUUUUAUAUUUUUUAGCAUAAAUAAAAUACAUUACAUGCCCCGUUAUCACAAACAGUAAGGAAAUUAUCACAAGCAACCCAAAUUGUUGCGGUUGAGGAGCUAGAAUAACCAUAAUGAAAUGUACAAGGUCCAUCAAGUAGUUCAUAGAGCUCUGCACACCAUUGACUAUCCCACGCUCUGAUUCUGGAAUGUUCUCCUGAAGAAGCUGGGUCACAGUCAAGUCAAAUGACCAAAGACCUGCAAGAGAACCGUGCUUUAUUAUAAAACCCAAGUGCUUAUAAAUUGUGCAAGAAUUUGUCCUUUGGAUUGUAGAAUAUUCUCUUAAGGGAAUGGAAAGCCCCGUCCAUGUAAAACAUUUAAAACUACAUUGAAUAUUGCAGUAGAAAAUAGAUUGUAAGUAGCUGUCCACUAUCAGCAGUGAACGAACACAAUACCCUAAUGGGGGCUGGGAACCGAUCUUUAAAUUCAGUGAUUUCAAAUUAGGAGAGCUACAGCAGGCUACCUUCAUAUGGAAGUCCAUUGAGCCACACUUCAUAUUGUGGCUAUGUCCACCAGUAUUCAGAUGAUAAACCAGUGACUCCUGUUAAAUACCCCUACUUUAGUGAUGGAAGAAUUGUGAAAAAGCUAAGAGUGUAAUGGCCUUAAAAUAGCCAUUGUAAUAUCACUAGACUAACUAUAUAAUUCUGUUCUCUUGUAUCCCAUCUGAAGGACUCACUCACCCAAGAGAAUUUUUUGUAAAAUUAUAAUACAGUAGUACAUGGAAUUUCUCUAAUGCACACACCUUACACUGUACCUACAAAAACUAGUUUCUCCUCCCUUCUUAGGAAAGGAUUACUAGGAGGGUGCUUUUAUAAGGCCUCACAUUACUAAAGCUUAUAAUACAUAAUCUACCAUUUUGUAAGAAAUUAAUUUCAAUUGUUAAAAUAAGAAUGUGCAUUUCAUAAUGCAUUAUUUCCUCAUUUCCUUUUUUGCUAAAAAUUUGUAAUGGGGGUAUUAGUUAUUAGUGCAGAUUAGCAAAGUUCUAGGAUAGUCUGUUUUGAUAGUAGAUAUCAUUUUGAGUGAUAUAAAAAGAACUACAUGGGGAAACUGCAAGUUAAAAUAUGGAAGGGCCAUCUCAGCUCUGUCUUUGUUUAGUCAAACUCUUGACAUCCUUCAUGUAACUUUUCUAUUACUUCUGUGUUCAAAUUUAGUAUAAUUACCAGACAAAAACUAUGUUAAAAUGGAGUUAAUGUUGUGAGUAUAUAUCAAUAAUUUAGGGUAAACUACAUUAAAGGGAUGUUGUAAUGAUCUCAAAUGAUCUCCCAAGCACUGUAAACUUAGAAAAUUCACAAUGAAGAUUAAACUUAGAAGAAAUCCAAACUUGAUAGAGUAUAAAAAUGUAUAAUUAGGACAACCAAAGCAACUUAACUCAGCCCUGUCAGACUCUUCAAACAUUCCAAAUACUUAAAACUCACUGAGUUCUUGUGCGCUUGAUUUUUUUCUUUUGAUUAAUGGCAAUUUUUCCUUGUAAUUCAUCAUGAAGUAUAGUUGUCAUGACGAAUUGCCCUCUUUCAAAAUGGCCACCUUCUCCUAAUGUUCUCAAUGGGACUGAAGGCACAGCUGCGCAUAGGGAAGAUGAUGGCUUCCUAGGCUGUAAGGAGGCAGAUACACUCAAUCCCAUGCAGAACAAGAGUUCUACACCAUUCCCCAAAUGGUCACCAACUGAGGGCAACUGUAGCUUUGGUCUUACUGAGAACAAUAGAAGAUGUCAGCCAUUUUGAAAGAGAUUAGUUCUUCAUGGAAGUCUCUGAACUAAAGUAAACUAUUGUAUCCUUCAGCUUCUCUUGAAGGAGAAAUUUUCAUUUAUGCACAACAGGAAAAAAUGACCGCUAGAUCAUUUUCUUUAAUGAAAAGCGAUCUGACGCUAAAUUUCUUAAAGGCCCCUUUUUCAAUUAAUGUUAAUUCCUAAACUAAUUACCCAAUUUAUUUGUAACUUUACAGAAAAUUGUGUACUCAAAGAGCAAGUGCUGUAAUUUGGGGGAGGACAUGCAUAUUUACCAUACAGGGUUGGAUCCUUGCUUUAUGUUCAAACUCAACUCAACCUUAACUAUAGAGUAAUUACCAAUCCCUCCAUAAUACAUUUAGACUUUUAUAAAAUCAAAACAAAGUCAAAAAGACUUGUUACAUGAAAUAAGAAUAAUAUGUAACGGAUGUACCAAAUUUAUAUUUAAAAAUGCACUAAACUUUAAAACAAAAAACAAAACAAAAAAACAUGAGUAGACUCACUGGAGAAUUCCAUUGCACCAAUGGUAUUUAGUUCAGGAAUACAAGGUAGGCUUGUUUGGUUUUGUUUUUCUUCUCUCUCCUUUUAAUUGCUGUGUGUAAAGUUAGUGCAUCAACACUAACACAAUAGGUUACAGCCAGGUAUAGACUGAGAGCAUGCAUGUAGGAACCACAGUUCUUCAUGAUACAAUCUCCAUAGGCUUCAGAACACAGCUAUACCUAAAUGCUAACCUACAGUGCCUUUGCUAUUCCAACAUGGUCUGCUCUUGAACAGGCUGCCAGUUUAUACCAAUUAUAGUUUUGUGGAUGAAAACUAAAUAUGGCACUGAAAUGAGACUACCUUUCUUCACUUAUGAAUUAAUAAAGAUUUGAACCUAGACCUCCAGAGGUGACAGGCUAGCAUGCUGAGUGGUUGAGUCACCUAAUUCCUCUCCCCCCACCCCAUCUCUCUGCCUUGUAAUUUGGUUUACUAAAAUAGGAUUUAUAGGAGAAGUAUAGUCUUUGUGAUGCUACUUCUCCCCCAUCUUUUCUAUUUCUGCAGCAUACUUAGGAUUCCAUGAAAAUGCUAAAUUUAAGUCAGCUAACAAUGCUAUAAUAGUAGCAUGAAAUGUCAUUGUCAUGUAGAUCUGUGUUGUUCCUCUGAGAGCCCUACCAACAAUUACAGGGGGAAAUCCUGAGAAUGCAACAUAAUUAUUUUAAUAAAACACAGAUAUGCUAAAGGCAGUCAAACUGACUAGAAAUAUUUGCUAGAUGUCUAUUAAUGAAGACUCAAAUGCAUAAAUGACAUGUACUAUCUGCAUAAAAUAGUUGAAGAACAUGCCGAAUUGGCAUGUGCAUGAGAGAAACUAAAAUUACAUUUUUAUUGACAAGCAGUUCACGUAAUCCUGGGUACCAGAUAGUGAAGGAUUAUUUAAAGGCAUGUCAAUAUGGAUGCAGUAUGAAUACACAAAAUGUAGUUGUGACUGAAUACACCCCUGUAUUCACACUCCACACAUUAUUGUAAUAACCUUUGUACAAAAUAUGCCUUGUGACAUCAUUCGAAAACGAAUAACUCGCUGGUCAAUAAUAUCAUGAUGAAAUGUGUGUAGUAACAUUAUAUGUAAAGUUAUAAACAUAAGUUGAAAUCAGAUCUGAAGUGUGUUUACCAGACUAGUCUGAAUAAACCAGUUUCUCAAAGAGACAGGACAAGCUGAUGCCUCUAGCCACGUGUCAUCAAAAUUGAUGGGCCAUCAUCUGUCAAGAGGCUGUUCUUUGGCAAAGAAGGGUGGCAGUAACAGAUCCAUCUACAUUUUAGCAAACAACAGCAUGGAACCUCUUCACCACAACACUCCAUGACUCCAUCCCGCAGGAAAAGAGGACUGGACUAUAAAGUGAGGGACAAAAACACCCCAAGUUCUCUCUCUCUCUCUGUCUCUCUCUCUCUCUCUUACCUAAGAUGACAAAAGAAACAGCCUUUGAACUUUGGGAGCAGAUCCUGGCCUGAGAAGCUGGUCAGCAAUGUUAUUGGAAACAUGUGGUAAGGGACUUCACCUUGAGCCAAGUCUAGUUUGUUAAGUUUUAGUACUAGAAAGCGUUUUAUAUUUAUUUAUCUUGUAAUCAUUUCUGACUUGAAUGCCUUAUACUUAUACUCGCUUAAAACCUAUCUCCUUGUAGUUAAAUAAAUAUGUUUUAUUUCUUAAUCAAAAUUAA